GACGAACGCUGGCGGCGUGCUUAACACAUGCAAGUCGAACGAAGAGCGACGGAAGCUUGCUUUUAUCAAUCUUCGUGGCGAACGUGUGAGUAACGCGUAAUCAACCUGUCCUUCAGAGGGGGACCACAGUUGGACACGAGUGCUAAUACCGCAUACGAUCUAGUCUCGGCAUCGAGGAUGGAUAAACGGUGGUCUCUACAUGUAUGCUAUCACUGAAGGUGGGGUUUGCGUCUGAUUAGGUAGCUGGUUGGGUAAGGGCCCACCAAAGGGAAGAUCAGUAGGCGGACUGGGGGGAGGAACGGCCACAUUGGGACUGAGACACGGGCCAGACCCCUAAGGGAGGGAGCAGUGGGGAAUCUUCCGGAAUGGAGGGAAGUCUGAACGAGCAACGCCGGGGGAGUGGUGACGGGCUUCGGGAUGGAAAGAUCUGGUAAUCGGGACGGAAGGCCUGCGUGAGAAUAGUGGGAAGGAUUGACGGUACCGGAAGAGAAAGCCACGGCUAACUACGUG
rnacentral:rRNA from 1 species